CUGUGGUCUCAGGCAAGGCAAACAGUAGGCGCUCAGCAUAUGUGGAAGGAAUAAAGUCAUACGGAGCCUUUCCUUCCCACCAGCCCCAUAUCCUGCCUGCUGGGCACCUGGACUUCCUCCUCAAGUGCUAGGAUUCCAGCCAUGGGCCACCACGCCAGCCCCACCUCAGCCUGUGCCACUCCACAGAACCCAUUCCUGCCAAGCUGAACCAGGAUUCUGUUACCUAUAAACCCAAAGGCCUCCAGGAUGCCUGCGGCUCUUCCCCCAUCUCUUUGCUGACCACAGCCUAAUGUAACCACUCCCUGCUUACCUGGCCACCUCCAAGGGGAUGGGCUGAGAGAGCCGUCUCACCUGAUCAGCCCCAGCUCAGGAAUGGUUCCACAGAAAAUGGCGCACAGGUCUUGCUAUACAGUUCGGGCUGUCCCUGAAUUUAUUAUGUGUCUAUCUCAGACUGGUCUCUAGCUCACAACAGUCUUCCUGCCUCUGCCUCCUGAGUUCUUGGAUUCCGGGCCUGCAACAUCACAGCAUGCUGCUACCAUUAUUAUUGUUGUUAUAUCAUUAUAUUAUUAACACAGGUCUUGUUCUGUAAUUUGGGUUGGCCUUAAACUUGUGGAAUCCUCCUGCCUCAGCCUCUCAAGCAUUAGGAUUACAGGUGUGCACCACCUCACUCUGGCCCUCUGCGGGUACCUUUAUAAAAAGGGUAACUCUGGACACAGCCACAUAAGGCUGUGAUCAGAAUGACAAGCCAAUUAGAGAGGCCUAAAAUGCAUUCUCUCACAGCCCUGCGGCUCCCUUGAGUUUGGACUGCUGGUCUCUAGAACUAUGAGACAGUGAAUUUCUAGGGAAGCCACUCCAUAUGUGGUACUUGGUAGCCACAGCCCUAGCAAAUUAAUCCACAAGGCAAGGUUCCUGUGCAGUGAGCAUCUAGCCUGAUCAAUGAUGGAUUCCCUAGGGAAAGACCUAAAGAUACCACGGGCUUCAAACUAGGACGUCUCACCCCUGCCCUGCCCUUGGGGAGUGAGCAUCCCUUCUCUAGGCCCUGGCUCCCCUGGCUUUCAGGGAGGGACAGACUAGACAACCAAAUGCCCAAUGACCAGAUGACCGAGAUGACCAAUGGUCACCAUAGAUGAGCCUUUCCAACCCUGAGAGUCCAGUAUCUUGCUCAGGCCAGUGACAAGAGCUGUUGCUAUUAAGUCCUGCCAAUGAUUGUUUUCCUCCGGUGGCUUCUGGUGCCUGAUCCUGGUCUUAGGGUUCUACUACUGCAUGACAGGCAAAACCAAGUCCUCUGUGAGUCAGAAUCGCAGGAACAUCUCAACUGUGCGACUGUCAGAGUGACCUGGGCUGCACACUCUGAAAACCCUGCUGGCACUGCAAAGGCAAGCAGAAACAACAAAACCACACCCAAGAUUUGGAGGCAGAUUUAUUUAUUGAUUUAAAUCAACAGGCAUGGAUUGGGAUCAUCAUUCCCAAAAUACCAGGCCCUGAUCUCUGGUGGUUUGGGACUUACAUGCGAUAAGCAAGCAGGAAGUACAGAAGCAGAAUGGUUUGUCAGUUGGCAAGUGCAAGGUCGUGAGUUUGAUCCCUGGUACUACAAAAAAUAAAAAGGAAGCCUUUACCAUGA